CACUGCUGUCCGUUAAAGCAGCAGUUAAUAGCUGCACACUCAGCACCACUGAUACCAGGUGGUCCACAUUGGAUCUGCUCAUAAUCAGCUACAGUACAUUUGUCAAGGGGCUCUGCCUGUGCCACUGGCUGCUUAGGCUGAAACUGCUGAGGAAACUGUUGACUAGCUUGCUGCUGAAACUGCUGAGGAAACUGUUGACUAGCUUGCUGUUGAACCGACUGGGGAAACUGUUGACUAGCUUGCUGCUGAAACUGCUGAGGAAACUGUUGACUAGCUUGCUGUUGAACCGACUGGGGAAACUGUUGACUAGCUUGCUGCUGAAACUGCUGAGGAAACUGUUGACUAGCUUGCUGUUGAACCGACUGGGGAAACUGUUGACUAGCUUGCUGUUGAACUGGCUGAGGAAACCGUUGACUAGUUUGUUGAACUGACUGGGGAAACUGUUGACUAGCUUGUUGAACUG